ensembl:lincRNA
UCCCAGCUGGGAGACUAGCUACCUGGGAGACUAAGGCGGUAGGAUUGCUUGAGCCCAGGAGUUUAAGGCUACAGUGAGCCAUAAUUAAGCCACUAUACUCCAGCCUGGGCAACAGGGGAGACCUUGUCUCAAAGGGAAAAAAACAAAAAAACUAACCACAAUAUUAAUCAUACCUUUAAAAUGAGCUUAAUACUGCCAGAUAAGUUAGGCAAGAAUAGAAGCAGAAGGGGAACAUUCUGACAGAAGUGUCUUCUGAAUUGUGGCUGUAACACAAAUUGCAGCUGAAUAUGAUAACAGCUUUAUUGUGGAGUAAAUAUUCUAUGUAAAAACAGUAAUGUAGAAGAUAAAUUUACCUAAUUGUUUGUCAGUGCUUUUGGCCAUCUCAGACCUAACAGUGUCAGUAUAAAUGUACAUUUAUUUACAGCCUUUAUAAGGUUUUGGUCUAUUUCCCAGACAUUUUCAGGACCAAUUCUGGUCCUGAAUUCUCAAAAUGAGGAAGUAGUAUUUUUUCAUGUUAUUAAUUGCCACCUCCCUUUCCCACCUUCCUCCCAUCUCCUCUUGUGGUUCCAUUUCUGUCUUUACAGGUCACAUUUCUCUGCAGCAAUAUCAUUCAUUUUGAAAGUUUACGAACAAGAACUGCAGAAGCCUUAAACCUGGAUGCGGCGUUAUUUGAACUAAUCAAGCGAUGUCAGCAGAUGUGUUCGUUUGCAUCACAGUUUAACAGUUCAGUGUCUGAGUUAGAGCUUCGUUUAUUACAGAGAGUGGACACUGGUCUUGAACAUCCUAUUGGCAGCUCUGAAUGGCUUUUGUCAGCACACAAACAGUUGACCCAGGAUAUGUCUACUCAGAGGGCAAUUCAGACAGAGAAAGAGCAGCAGAUAGAAACGGUCUGUGAAACAAUUCAGAAUCUGGUUGAUAAUAUAAAGACUGUGCUCACUGGUCAUAACCGACAGCUUGGAGAUGUCAAACAUCUCUUGAAAGCUAUGGCUAAGGAUGAAGAAGCUGCUCUGGCAGAUGGUGAAGAUGUUCCCUAUGAGAACAGUGUUAGGCAGUUUUUGGGUGAAUAUAAAUCAUGGCAAGACAACAUUCAAACAGUUCAUGUCAAAGUCUAUUUACAUUAGUCCAGAGCUAUGGGUCAGGUUCGAAGUCAAGAACACGUUGAAAUGCUCCAGGAAAUCACUCCCACCUUGAAAGAACUGAAAACAAAGUCAGAGGUAAGAAUGCCUUCUGGUCAGAAUUUAUAAAACAUAAGUACAAAACUACUGGUAUAAGAAGUUUAUCUCUUGAUUUAAUUUUUCAGUUUUGUUCAUAUUUUUAUAAGUAGUAUCAGGUAAAACAUUUCGUAAAUAAGCCAUUUUAUUUUGUAUUUCAGUAUCUAUAAUAAUUUAGUGAGUUUUGCAUCACCCUUAGUCACCGAUGCAACAAAUGAAUGUUCAAGUCCAACGUCAUCUGCUACUUAUCAGCCAUCCUUCGCUGCAGGUAGAGAAGAGUCCUGAGUCUUGAUCUGUUGUUAAUGUUACACAUAGAUGCUAAGAUGUUUAAUUAUACAUAACUGUCUAAUAUUAAACACUUAAGGCCUGUCAUUCUAUAAUCUUAAACUGAACAGAUUUUAGCUUAUCCUUAAAAACUCGUAAGCCAGGCACGAUGGCUCACACCUGUAAUCUCAGCUACUUGAAGGCCAAGGUGGGAGGAUUGUCUAAGCCAGGAGUUCAAGACCCUGUCUCUUUAAAAUAAAUAAAUAAACAGCUAUUAAAAAAAAAAAAAAAAAAAAGGCAGGCGAGUGGCUCACACCAUAAUCCCAGCACUUUGGAGGCUGAGCCAGGUGGAUCACCUAAGGUCAGUGUUUGAGACCAGUCGGGCAACAUGGUGAAACCUUGUCUCUACUAAAAAUACAAAAAAAUUAGCUGGGUGUGGUGCCCAGAUGCUUGUAGUCCCAGCUACUCAGGAGGCUGAGGCAGGAGAAUUGCUUGAACCCGGGAGGCGGAGGUUACGGUGAGCCAAGAUCACGCCACUGCACUCCAGCCUGGGUGACAGAGCAAGACUCUGUCUCAAAAAAAUGAAACAACUCGUGAGAGAGUAAAAAUGCUUUGCUAAUUUGAAUAGUUUUCUUUAAAAAAAUUGUUUUUAUUUUUGUUUGAGGUGGAGUCUCAAAACUGUCUCUUGUCGCCCAGGCUAGAGUGCAGUGGCACAGUUGCGGCUCACUGUAACCUCCACCCCCCAGAUUCAAGCAAUUCUCCUGCCUCAGCUUCCUGAGUAGCUUGGAUUACAGGUGCCCGCCACCAUGCCUGGCUAAAAAAUUAUAUAUAUAUAUAUAUAUAUAUAUAUAUAUAUAUAUAUAUAAUAUAAAUCAGAGAAGACAUAGGAAAAUACUUAAUACAAAUGAAAAAUUUGUAGUUCCAUUCCAAAUAGAGGCAGAAACCACUCUGCAUUUGUUGAUUUACUUCGCUGUGCAUAUGCACACAUACACAAACACAUUGGAUGAUUAUGCAAAUGCAAUUUUUGUUGCCUUUUUCCAGUUAAUAAUUUUCAGUCAUUAGACAUAAAUCUUUUAAAAUGACUUAAUGGCCAAUUUAUUUUAUUUUUUAUUUUCUUAUUAUUUUUAUUUUUUUAUUUUUUUAAAUUUAAUUAAUUUUUUUUUUUUUUUUUUUGAGAUGAGUCUCACUCAGUGCCCAGGCUGGAGUGCAGUGGCACAAUCUUGGCUCACUGCAACUUCCGCCUUCUGGUUCAGGGGAUUCUCCUGCCUCAACCUCCCAGUAGCUGGAAUUACAAGAACCUGCCACACGCCCUGCUUAUU